ensembl:lncRNA
AUAGGCUGUUGUUUAUGUUUGUGAAUCAGUACGGAGAGAAAGACAUAAUAAACAUUUUUGUUAGUCAUAUGAAACAUAACGGUACAAGUAACACGAACAGCACGAGCGGCACGAGUAACUCGAGUAACACUAAUAAUCCGAACAACAUAAACAACGUAAACAGCAAGAGUAAUCCGAACAACAUAAACAGUAUAAACAGCAAGAGUAAUCCGAACAACAUAAACAGUAUAAACAACACGAAUAACACGAACGAUACAAACAACGGUGACCACGGGCAGUACGAUUUACUCCUAAUAAAUAAAAUUUUAAACAUUUUCAUUUACAAAAAAAAAAACAUUUCUCUAAGUAACAACAACAUAAUAUGCAGUGUCUUAGCAAAACACCAAUUAUUUUAUAAUAAUUUUUUUUGUAUAAAUAAAAAUAAUUUUAUGAACGAAUUGAAAGAUGUACAUAUACAUUCGCUUGUUUCAUUGAUACAUUCAUUGGGUAAAUUAAAAAUAAAAGGCAUUGAUAUCGAAUUCUAUAAAUUGAUAAUUAAAGAAAUUUUAAAAAAAAUUAAUAAAAUUAAUGAAUACGGAUUGUCUUGUUUAUUAUACGGUUUGAAUAAUUUAAUUGACAAAAAAAAGGAGAGGGAAUUAGCACUAAUAGAAGAUGGCGGAAAAGGGAAGAGUAUAUUCAAAUUUUUUAAUAAAAAUGCAAAUGACAUUAUGCAUAAUGGUACCAACUAUGACAUAAAUCAAAAUGACAACAAUAUAUCAUACGUUGUUAAUAAACAAAAAAACGAAACUGAUUUAUCUUUACUCAGUGAUAAUCCUAAUAUUCUCCAGAUCGAACAAAAUAAAUUAAAAAACGAAUUGCAAACCGGUGAUAUAAACGACGUUGAACUACUAAACAUAAAUCAAAACGAAGAUGAUGAAAAUACAAAUACAAAUACAAAUGCAAAUACAAAUGCAAAUACAAAUACAAAUGCAAAUACAAAUGCAAAUACAAAUGCAAAUACAAAUGACAGCACUCAAGAAAUGCCUGCUUUGCAAAAUAUAACAUAUUCCAAUAAAUGUUUCAUAAAAAAUGAUGAAAUUGUAGAAGAAAAAAAUAAGAAAAGUGACAUAGAUGAAGUAAUAAAUAUAGAAAAUGAGUUAAUAAAGGUAAUAAUAAAAAAAUUAAUUUUUUUUAAAAAUAUGAAUAUAAAUUCUUUUUGUAUAUCAGUUUCAUGUUUAGCUAGAAUAAACAUAUUUCCUUCACAAUUAUAUGACGAAAUAAAAGAUAUAACAUAUAAAUAUAUGAAUAGUGUAAACAUAACCUCUUUACAACAUUUAUUACUAGCUUUAGCAAAAUAUAAUAUGAAAAAAAAAAAAAAAAAAAAUCUAAAUAACGAUGCUUUAAUUUAUGAUAUAUAUAAUUUUUUAUUCACUUAUAAAUUUUAUGAUAUAUCUUUUAAAUGUGCUGUUAAAUUUUUACAUAUUUUGAAUCUUUUAAAUAUAAGGAAUGAAAAUUAUAUAUUAUUACUACUUUUAAUUAUAGCAAAUGAGCGCGGGGUAUUGUUGAGUGGAACACAUGUAGGUGAAAACAGUACAACCAUUAUGCAUGCAAAGAAGUGGCAAGAUUAUGACCAACAGAGUUCUCAUUAUAAAUUAGAUAACCAUCGUUUAAGUAGUAAUGGUAGUAGUAGUAGUAGUAGUAGUAGCAGUAGCAAUAGUAGAAACACCAAAUCGAGUUUUAUAAGACUCAAUUGUUCAAUUUUCAAAAAAAUAGAAGAAAUAAAAAAAGAUGAAUAUUUUAAAAUUUCAUUUAAUCCCUAUUUAUUUUUUAAUAUUAAAAAUUACAAAUUUGAUAUAAAUAAUGUACUAUCAAAUUUUAAAUAUACUGAUAAUACUUAUUUGUUAAACAUAUUAGAAAGUUUAUAUAAUUUAUCAUAUUAUUCAUAUUUUUCUAUUCAUUUGUGUAUAGUUAUUAAAAACCUUUUAAUAAAACAGAUACAUGACUUUAAGGUUUCUGACGUCAUAACGUUUUUUUUUUCUUACGCGGAUUUGUGUUUUUAUGAUUAUUCUUUGUACGACUUGGAGAUGAGGUUGUUUUUGAGCGAAGAAGGUAGUAGUGGUGGUAAUAGUGGUGGUAGUAAUGGUGGUAAUAGUGGUGGUAGUAAUGGUGGUAGUAGUGGUGGUAGUAAUGGUGGUANNNNNNNNNNUAGUGGUGGUAGUAAUGGUGGUAGUAGUGGUGGUAGUAAUGGUGGUAGUAGUGGUGGUAGUGACAAUACGAUACCUGCAAAAAUAACAAACAAUAAAACGACGGAACAUAUAUUAACCGAAAAUAACGACUGCGAAACCGUGAAUAGUCAAGCAGUCACGAAUGAUAUUCAACAUUUAAAAAAACAGUUAAAAAGUGAAUAUGCUUAUUUGUUAAAACAUUUAAAAGGAAUGAGUGAAAAGGAAAAAAGUGUACAUCUAAACAAACUAAAACUUAUAAUGCAUGAACUAAAAAAAAAAGACAAAUACUAUUAUACUGACACGUUUUAUAGUCCUAAUAAUUCAUUAAGUAUUGAAUAUAUUUUAUCUAUGAUUUAUGAUUAUGACACAUCUAGUAACAACAUAGAUGAUAAGGCACAAGCAUAUAACAAAGGGGAAGUAUAUAUAAAAAAUGAUACCAAAUUAAAUAAAAGCGUUAGCAGUAGCAGUAGCAGUAACAGCAGCAGUAGCGGUGGCGACACAAAUAAAACUGGCUCACCCUUAACAAAUUCAACAGACUACUUAAACUUUAAAAAAAUGCAACAAAUUGUUGACAAAUUUAGUAGUGUAAAAAAAUACCCUUUAAAAAAUAAAAAAUUAAAUAAAAAAUUAGAAAACAAAAUAUAUUACGAUGAAUUCUUUUUUUUAAAAUAUAGAACAUAUUAUAAAGAAGACUUACUCAAUUUGUGUUUAGAAACGUUAUUAAAAAAUAG